UGGGAAAGGUGUAGGUGGGAGAAACAGCCAUGGAUGCAGCAGCAACAGCACCGAGCAUAGAAGGAAGAAGCAGGAGUUUAAAGUUGCUGGCAAGCUGUUCUCCCACUACAAAGAAUGAAAGAAAGGAGGGCUUUGUCAACAGCAGACUGUUCUUCAACUCAAGGCAGUCGAAUGAAAGGCUAGGAGAAUAACUAGCGCCAUUCGUAAUUUGUGCCCAGUCCUAACUGUUGAUGAUAUUAAGGCUCUGAGAUUAGUUUCAGAGGACUUUCCACUCAUAUUACAGCUUUGACAUAGAUGCUGUUUGUGGUCUCGAGCUGAAACAGAGCAAGGAGUUCAAAUAAAAUGAACAUUAUUUUGACUCUCGUAGUAUGUAAGAAGAGGAAGAGGAAGAAGAAUAGGAGGAAUAGUUCUGGACUAAACUCAGAUCUUGUACCAGAAUUUUUGAAAACCAUCUUACUUUCUUUAAAUAGUCCUUAUUGCUGGUUCUUUGACAGAAGAAAGAGACAGUUCAACAGCUCUGUAAUUUAGUUAGACACAUCUGGAGAUUCAAUUUUCUAGAAGAAGAAGUGCCCAGAAUAAAGUGCAGAUGUCAAGUUUGAUGUGGGGUAGCUUCUUUUCCAGUUUGGCACACAUGAGAUGACAAGCAGGAACUCUGAAAGCAGGAAUGUAACCUUUUAAACUUUUUGUGGUGACUAAAAAACAAAGCUGUAAACUAAGGCAAAGAGAGAUGAUGUGUUUUUGAGGUCACAUGACUCGCUGAAAUCAUAUGGAACCUGGCAUCCAUUCUCCUUUGAGGGGCAACAAGAGGCAAUUUAUUGCCUUUAGUUUAUAUGCAAUUGUUGGGAUUUAUGUUUAUAUACAUUGCCUUUGUUCUUGCCACUGAUGUAUUGUAUGUAUAUCUGUAUAUAUGCUUGUGGUAGAGAUUUGAAUGUUAGUGUCAGUCAUUAGUUCUGUAGACUGAUUGGUCUGUUUGUAUUUGUUACUGGAUGCAUGAGACUGUUAUUUUUCUGUUAGAAUGAUCUUUCACUCAAAGUGAAGUUUAUCAUUUGGUAAUAGUUAAGUAGUAAACCUUAGUAACUUUGUUCAAUAAACUUAACAAGCCUCAGUUUCUGCUCUGUUACACUCCGCUACAUGGGGUUAUGAGUCUAGAGUGCUGGAAAUAAUAACAUAGGCAACAAGAAGCUUAUGAACAAGAAAUGGCUACUUUUGUAUUGACAAAGAUGCAUCCAGUUGUACAGUGCAGAGUGAUACAAACUAUAGAAAUUGGUCAUUUAAAGUAAAGAUGUGGCUAAAUACUUUUGUACUGUCUUUUGUACUGGAAGA